UCUCUAGGUAAAUUGUUAUGCUGUGUUUGUGUUAAAAAUGUUGUUUGUGUUUUUAAAUAUAAAACACAUCAGUUCUUGAAAGUUGUGUUUUUUUUUUAUAAAUAUUUCUAUGCAAGCUUUGAUAAGAUAUUAAAGGCGAACUACUGAACGAAAUAACCUACUUCUAGAUCAAUUAAAACGACACGCAUUUAAAUUUAGAAGUCAUUAAACUAUCAAUAAUAUACUGUCAUUAAUAUUUUGUUAAAUGCUUUUGAAGAAAACCAAAGUUACAGUCUGGAUACUUUUCUCACCUGUUCAUAUAUAUUCAGAAGAUGAUGAAAGUCUGCCAGACGUUGCACGGGCAAGUAGGCUGAGUGAGGCUGUGAUGCCAGCGGCAGAAGAAGGUCAGAGUGAAAAGGCUGUUGGACAAAGAUGUUGAUGAAAAAAAUGAGUAGUUUAAGACUCCAGCAGGCAACUAGACUAUGGUCAUUAGCCACUGGCAGUCUUAAGUCUCACGACGUUUCAAAGUUUGGUACAUUGUAUUCACCGCCUGGUACUGAAUGACUACCGGAUACUAAAACUCGUACAGAGCAAGUUCCAGUUAGAUGUUACCAUUGGCAACGGAUCAGUGUCAUAUACUUGUAUAUUUGUAGAUAAGAAUCGGAUGUAGAUUGUUGUAACAUCAAGUUAACGUACAUAUAAACAUUGUACAUUGAAUGAUUUAUUAUGGACCAGACUUAUCGUGAAAUUUCUUUUGAAAAUAGAAUUUUUUCUCAAAUAUUUUGACAUAAUACAACACUAGUAUGCUUUUAUUUUAGCAAGCAUGCUUUAUGUAAUCGUUUAUUCAUUUGUAACAUUUGUAAAAUCCAGAUAAAGUUGUAGCUCAUCUAUUCUUUUAUUGUAGUUUAUCAAUACAUUCAGAACAAAAAUUCGGAUUAAGGCAUCGCCUACAGUGGCAGCCAUUUGACUCAAAAUUUUACAUGGAAAUUUUCAUAAAAAUAAAAGAUGACUAAGUGGUAACAAUAAAGUCAAUAAAUUUGUUAUAAUUAUGUUUUAAAUAUCUAUGUGAACAUAUGCAAGUAGAAGGAUGUGCAUUUUACUACCUGUAUUAUGCCUUUAUUCGAUAUUUUUCUAUGACAAAAUUUUGCAAUUUUAUCUGCAGUCAAACUCAAUAUAUAUUCAAUACAUUUCAAAGAUAAUUACAGCCAAUUGUAAAGCAGACCUUGAAGAAUAAAGUCUUCAGAAAUUAUUUUGAAAUUUUACCUGAUUACUGAAUUAUACACAAAAAUCCCAACACCGUCAAUUUAUCCAAUUUGUGUUAUCUGUUUACACAUAAUAUACAUGUAUAUAAACAGGUGAUAUUAUAGGAUUAUGUACAGGUUUACCUGGCUACCUGUGGUCAGUAACGCAUGUACAAACAACAUUUUAAAUUAAAUUUACAUGGGGUUGUCUUUUUAUGUCUAAUGCAAUAACCAGGAACAAUUUCGAAAAAAUCCGUAGGAGUUUGCAGUAUACAUAUUGUACUAUGAAAUUAACUAAAUUUUGUCUUUGUAAUAUUUUUUAUAUUGGAGUUCUACUGCACAUAAAAUUUCAAUAUUUUGGAGUAAA